GGUGAACGCUGGCGGCGUGCCUAACACAUGCAAGUCGAGCGGUGCAGUUUGAAGCUUCGGUGGAAAGCUGCAUAGCGGCGGACGGGUGAGGAAAACGUAGGAACGUGCCCCUUGGAGUUGGAUAGCCACGGGAAACUGUGGGUAAACCGACAUAGACUCGAGAGAGUAAAGGCCGAAAGGCGCCAAGGGAGCGGCCUGCGGCCCAUCAGGUAGUUGGUAGUGUAAAGGACUACCAAGCCGACGACGGGUAGCCGGUCUGAGAGGAUGGCCGGCCACAAGGGCACUGAGAGACGGGCCCUACUCCUACGGGAGGCAGCAGUCGAGAAUAGUCUACAAUGGUCGGAAGACUGAUAGUGCGACGCCGCGUGAACGAUGAAUCCCUUCGGGGUGUAAAGUUCUUUUAUAUGUGAGCAGUGCUUCUUAUAUUAACAGUAUGGGGAGAGAGAUAUUAGCAUAUGAAUAAGCAACGGCUAACUCCGUGCCAGCAGCCGCGGUAAACUCGUCU
rnacentral:rRNA from 1 species